rnacentral:rRNA from 1 species
GAUGAACGCUGGCGGCGUGCUUAACACAUGCAAGUCGAACGAAGCACCUUGGAAUGCGUCUUCGGACAAGUGAAUUGGUGACUUAGUGGCGGACGGGUGAGUAACGCGUGGGUAACCUGCCUCACACAGGGGGAUAACAGUUAGAAAUGACUGCUAAAACCGCAUAACAUGGCGAGACCGCAUGACCUUGCCAUCAAAUAUUUAUAGGCGUGAGAUGGGCCCGCGUCUGAUUAGCUAGUUGGUGAGGUAAUGGCUCAACAAGGCGACGAUCAGUAGCCGGCUUGAGAGAGUGAACGGCCACAUUGGGACUGAGACACGGCCCAAACUCCUACGGGAGGCAGCAGUGGGGGAUAUUGGACAAUGGGGGAAACCCUGAUCCAGCUACGCCGCGUGAGUGAAGAAGUAUUUCGGUAUGUAAAGCUCUAUCAGCAGGGAAGAAAAAUAACCAAAUUGACUGUACCUGACUAAGAAGCCCCGGCUAACUACGUGCCAGCCGCCGCGGUAAAAC